UACGUAGGGGGCAAGCGUUGUCCGGAAUCAUUGGGCGUAAAGAGCGUGUAGGCGGCCCGAUAAGUCCGCUGUGAAAGUCCGGGGCUCAACCCCGGAUCUGCCGUGCCGACUGUCAAACUCGAGGACUGUAGAGGCAGACGGGAUUCCGGGUGUAGCGGUGGAAUGCGUAGAGAUCCGGAGGAAGACCGGUGGCGAAGGCGGUCUGCU
rnacentral:rRNA from 1 species